rnacentral:rRNA from 1 species
UAUCUACCCUUUGGCCUGGAAUAACACGAGGAAACUUGUGCUAAUACCGGAUAAGUCUUUACGGAGAAAGCUUUAUGCACCAUUGGAUGAGCCUGCAUUUGAUUAGUUUGUUGGUGGGGUAAUGGCCUACCAAGACUGUGAUCAAUAGCUGAUUUGAGAGGAUGAUCAGCCACAUUGGGACUGAGACACGGCCCAAACUCCUACGGGAGGCAGCAGUGGGGAAUCUUGCACAAUGGAGGAAACUCUGAUGCAGCGAUGCCGCGUGAGUGAAGAAGGCCUUUGGGUUGUAAAGCUCUUUCGUCGGGGAAGAAAAUGACUGUACCCGAAUAAGAAGGUCCGGCUAACUUCGUGCCAGCAGCCGCGGUAAUACGAAGGGACCUAGCGU